CGAGGGUUACAUACAUGAUAUGGAGUUAAGCAAUGGACUGAUAUUCAUUUAUAAGUCCUUUUGAGAUCAUUUUGGUGCAUCUACAUCUGUAAAAGACAGUCUCUCUGUC